rnacentral:tRNA from 1 species
UGAAUGAAUGGUUACGCUGUCCGCUUUGUAAGCGGAUGAUCAUGGGUUCGAUUCCCGU